GGCUGAGGCAGGAGAAUCGCUUCAACCCGGGAGGCGGAGGUUGCAGUGAGCCAAGAUCACGCCACUGCACUCCAGCCUGGGCAACAAGAGCGAAAACUCCAUCUCAAAAAAACAAACAAACAAAAUCUCCCGAAACCCCCACUCCCAAUAUCUCAACAACCAGCAUUUAUAUAGUGCUCAGUUUACAUAGUAUUUCCACACACAUUGGCAGGUCAUCAUAUUAUUAACCAAUUUUUUUAAAUGAGGGGACCGAAGCAUAGCGAGAUGAACACCCCCAAAGGCACCCAGCCUGUGCAAAGUCCACUGACAUUCUCACUUAGGUUCACUGGCCAGAAGCUUGUGUUCUCUCCACUCAGCCACACUGUGUCCUCCACAGACAUCCUCCUGCCCCAUUUCCUUUACUCUUCUGGGAAUCAGAUGGCAACCCAGAACCAAGGUCUCUGUUCCUGUUCCUCAAGACCCUGCCCUAUUAAACCCUUUCUGUCCCCAGCCCAGCACUUCAUGGACUUUCAGUCCCUUCCACAACUUUAUCUUUUCCAUCUUGCUUUUCCUGCCCCAGUCAUCUCUUCUGUGAUUUCACUUCAAGCACCAUUAUCUUGAGAGUCAGAGUAGGAUCAGAAAAGCCUUGCUGCUGUAGUCUCUCCAGACACUAAGGAAACACUUUUCAGAGACACUUGGUCUUCAUAAUAAAACAUUUUCCUGAGUGCUUGAGCCAGGUGUUUUAAAAACAUUAUCACGAGCCCUUAUAACAAUGCUACAAGUUAUGUGCUAUUUCCUACCCCUCACAGAGGAAGAGGUUGAGACCCAGAGACACUGACUUACCUAAGGUUAGAAUUAGCUAGUGGCAAAUGGUGAUUCAAACCCAGGAGUCACCUCCAAAGCCUCUGUUCUUGUCAGUGCAUCACACAAACCCUUGUGAGAACAAUGACCAUGCAGACUGUAGGUGGGGUUUUGUUCAAAUAUGAUCAAAAAUUCACAAUUCAAAAACUUGGAGGCAACGUUCUUAAAUCCAUGGUCCUACCUCUAGACUAGCAAGGCAGACUCUGACAAUCUCUACCCAUCAGUAACCUCUGACUCUUACUAGCAUGACAGCCUCUGUGACAAUCUCGUCUCCUGCAUCCUUGUGCACAUCCCAGGGUCUCCUUCUUGCCUUCUGACUGUGCUGCUGGCUCAUACAAACCUUCAAUGCCUCUUUAGGAACUGUCCUUUUAUCUCCUUGGGGAGCAGCAGCUCCAAUGUCUUAUUUUCACCCAGUAUGUUUCAGGUAUUUUUAGUAUUGUUAAAAAUAUUUUUGGAAGGUCAUUCCCCACUGAUGGCAUAGGUGAUAGUAUCCUUGUAAGCAUCAGAGGUUACUGACAGGGGUAGGAACUGGUAACACAAGCAUGAGUUGACACUUAUACCUCUGCUCUGCUCAGGAGCUGACAACUAGAUAUGCCCUGAGACUAGAAACAGGAACUUAGACAGAAAGCUAGAUGGGGAAGAGAGGUAAAGACUGAGAGACACAGAAAGACUGAGCCCUUGCUAUGGACCGGUCAUUCUGCUAAGCCUUACCCUGACAAUGUAAAUGAUGUCUUCCCCAUACAUAUAAACAAGUCAAGUUUCGGGCAGUUUGUCCAUUUGCCCAAAGUCAUGCAGAAUGGCAGAUCCAGGUAUGCAGACUCCACUCUCAACCACUACACUAUAUUGCACUAUAUAUAUUCAAGAGGUAAUAAAAACCUGGCCCAAGCUUAGCUUAGAUGAUGGGUUAAGGAGCACAGCUUUCCUGAUAGUUCUGACCUCAAUGACCAAGUGAAUAGGUUUUAAGUAAACGGAAUAAAACAGCAAAAUUAGCUAGAGCCAAAGAGAAGGUUUCCAAGGCCCAGAGCCAGUUAUCUAGAAGGAAAGACGUGACUGCAAGGUGACUACAGAAUGGCCUGUAGCCCAGAGGGAUGGGUUGGCACAAGCUAAAGAGGUAUCUUCUUCACCCACAAAGCUAGGGACCAGGGUCUGAGGCAAGAGGAUCUGAGUAUUUAUAGAGAACUGCAGGGAGACUUGGCUUAUAGUGAGGAGGAGAGGUGGCUGGGCGUGGGGAUAGACCCAAGAGAUUAAUGGGAUCAUGAUGUGGAAAGGGCUGAGAAUUCCAGCCAGCCAUAAUACAUCUCAGGCUGAAGUCUGAGUAGCUUGAUUCAACAUUUCUUCCAAGUAGGGUCUGGCAGGGUGGCUCCAGAGGCCAGAACACAAAUGAGAACGGUGGAGGGCUACAAAUAAGCAAGUCCAAUCUACGUCCACUCCAGGACAAAUCUGAGCCAGCAACCAAGACUUUCAGAUUUCUGUGACUAACCAAAGGGUUUUCUUCUUGGGAUCUACUGUCUCACCCAUUCCCUGGAGUAAGGUACGACAAAACCCUUAGGCAUUGGGAAGCAGUGUUUGUUUUGGACUGCUGGACUGGAAGAAAGAGAAGCUAAGGGGGAAAUCCCCCAACCUCUGGUUAAUUAUUCAUCUUCCACAUAUCAGCUUGGACUUAUCACUUUCUGCAGGAAGCCUACCAUAAAAAACUGGACAUAGUGCAAUGCUUCUCCUCUAUACACCAUAAUUCUAACUGCCUGCCUGUCUCCCCUACUGAUCUGAGAGCACCACAUGGGGACGAACUAAUACAGUGCCUGGAACAGAAGUGUUCAACAAAUGGUAGCUAUUAACAUCCCACUCAUAUUUUUCUGAAUUUUGAUUGCCCUUCUCCCCUAGAACAAUCUUAACAUACUCAUAAUUUUUUUUUUUUUUUUUUGAGAGGGAGUCUCACUGUAGUCACCCAGGCUGGAGUGCAAUGACGUGAUCUCAGCUCACUGCAACCUCCGCCUCCCAGGUUCAAGUGAUUCUCCUGUCUCAGCCUCCCGAGUAGCUGGGAUUACAGGUACCCACCACCACAUCUGGCUAAUUUUUGUAUUUUUAGUAGAGACAGGGUUUCACCAUGUUGGCCAGGAUAGUCUCAAACUCCUGACCUCAGGUGAUCCACCCACCUCAGCCUCCCAAAGUGCUGGGAUUACAGGCGUGAGGUAAUCCUCCCAG
rnacentral:lncRNA from 1 species